AGCGGCAGCGUUCGCAUCGGUGACUUAAAACUCGGAAAAGCUCGCGGAAAAGUACCUUCUAUAUUACAAUUUGUGGUGUGGCUCCAGAGAUACUUAGAAGCAAACAGCAGACAGGUGGCUCCAGAGAUAGAGUCUCCUCUACUUAGUAGCAAGUUUGUUUGUUUGUCCCCCAGCGAGCGGUGAUUCAUGGUUUUUUGAGUGUGUGGUACUGAAGUGGAUUUGGGUGAGGGCCGACGGAAAAACAAUUCAAAACUUCCGAAGAUAGUGCAAGUGAUUCCGGAAACUGUUACACAGUGGUAAUCGAUUUAUGGACGCUGCUUUUUGCACCCGAUGAAAUUGGAGCAAAUUUGAACAGCAAUCCGUACUUCCAAGAAUCGG